UACGGAGGGUGCAAGCGUUGUUCGGAAUCACUGGGCGUAAAGGGCGCGCAGGCGGUUUGGUAAGUCAGAUGUGAAAGCCCACGGCUUAACCGUGGAAGUGCAUUUGAAACUGCCAGACUUGAGUACCAGAGGGGAAAGUGGAAUUCCCGGUGUAGAGGUGAAAUUCGUAGAUAUCGGGAGGAAUACCGGUGGCGAAGGCGACUUUCUGGCUGGAUACUGACGCUGAGGCGCGAAAGCGUGGGGAGCAAACAGGAUUAGAUACCCUGGUAGUCCACGCCGUAAACGAUGUCAACUAGAUGUAGGGGGUGUUGAUCCCCUCUGUGUCGCAGCUAACGCAUUAAGUUGACCGCCUGGGGAGUACGGUCGCAAGAUUAAA
rnacentral:rRNA from 1 species